rnacentral:rRNA from 1 species
GGAAUAUUGGUCAAUGGAUGCAAGUCUGAACCAGCCAUGCCGCGUGCAGGAAGAAGGCCCUAUGGGUUGUAAACUGCUUUUGCCAGGGGAUAAAAAAGCUCUGCGGAGUGAAUUGAAGGUACCUGGUGAAUAAGCCACGGCUAACUACGUGCCAGCAGCCGCGGUAAUACGUAGGGUCCAAGCGUUAUCCGGAAUCACUGGGCGUAAAGCGUGCGUAGGCGGGUAUUUAAGUGAAAUGCGAAAUCUUGUGGCUCAACCACAUAGACUGUAUCUCAUACUGGAUACCUAGAGGAUGGCAGAGGCUAGUGGAAUUACGGGUGUAGCAGUGAAAUGCGUAGAGAUCCGUAGGAACACCAAUGGCGAAGGCAGUUAGCUGGGCCAUUUCUGACGCUAAGGCACGAAAGCGUGGGGAGCGAAC